CUGCAGUGAGGAAUAUUGGACAAUGGGCGGGAGCCUGAUCCAGCCAUGCCGCGUGCAGGAAGACGGCCCUAUGGGUUGUAAACUGCUUUUAUACGGGAAGAAACACUCCCUCGUGAGGGAGCUUGACGGUACCGUAAGAAUAAGGAUCGGCUAACUCCGUGCCAGCAGCCGCGGUAAUACGGAGGAUCCAAGCGUUAUCCGGAAUCAUUGGGUUUAAAGGGUCCGUAGGCGGGACAAUAAGUCAGCGGUGAAAGUCUGUGGCUCAACCAUAGAAUUGCCAUUGAUACUGUUGUUCUUGAGUGUUUAUGAAGUGGUUGGAAUAUGUAGUGUAGCGGUGAAAUGCAUAGAUAUUACAUAGAACACCGAUUGCGAAGGCAGAUCACUAAUAAAAUACUGACGCUGAUGGACGAAAGCGUAGGUAGCGAACAGGAUUAGAUACCCUGGUAGUCUACGCCGUAAACGAUGGUUACUAGCUGUUCGGUCGUAAGACUGAGUGGCUAAGCGAAAGUGAUAAGUAACCCACCUGGGGAGUACGUUCGCAAGAAUGAAACUCAAAGGAAUUGACGGGGGCCCGCACAAGCGGUGGAGCAUGUGGUUUAAUUCGAUGAUACGCGAGGAACCUUACCAGGGCUUAAAUGUAGUUUGACCGAUUUG
rnacentral:rRNA from 1 species